AUACGUAGGGAGCGAGCGUUGUCCGGAUUUACUGGGUGUAAAGGGUGCGUAGGCGGCUCUGCAAGUCAGGCGUGAAAUACAUGGGCUUAACCCAUGGACUGCGUUUGAAACUGUGGAGCUUGAGUGAAGUAGAGGUAGGCGGAAUUCCCGGUGUAGCGGUGAAAUGCGUAGAGAUCGGGAGGGACACCAGUGGCGAAGGCGGCCUACUGGGCUUUAACUGACGCUGAAGCACGAAAGCAUGGGUAGCAAACAGGAUUAGAUACCCUGGUAGUCCAUGCCGUAAACGAUGAUUACUAGGUGUGGGGGGUCUGACCCCCUCCGUGCCGGAGUUAACACAAUAAGUAAUCCACCUGGGGAGUACGGCCGCAAGGUUGA
rnacentral:rRNA from 1 species